rnacentral:rRNA from 1 species
GUGUGAGUAGAGUGGCGGACGGGUGAGUAACGCGUGGGAAUCUACCCAGUAGUGGGGGACAACUACCGGAAACGGUAGCUAAUACCGCAUACGCCCUAUGGGGGAAAGGCUUCGGCCGCUAUUAGAUGAGCCUGCGUAAGAUUAGCUUGUUGGUGAGGUAAAGGCUCACCAAGGCUACGAUCUUUAGCUGGUCUGAGAGGACGAUCAGCCACAUUGGGACUGAGACACGGCCCAGACUCCUACGGGAGGCAGCAGUGGGGAAUAUUGGACAAUGGGCGCAAGCCUGAUCCAGCCAUACCGCGUGUGUGAAGAAGGCCUUCGGGUUGUAAAGCACUUUAAGUAAGGAAGAAAAGUAUAUUGUUAAUACCAAUGUACCGUGACAUUACUUACAGAAUAAGGACCGGCUAAUUCCGUGCCAGCAGCCGCGGUAAUACGGAAGGUCCAAGCGUUAAUCGGAAUUACUGGGCGUAAAGCGUGCGUAGGUGGUUUAUUAAGUUGGGUGUGAAAGCCCCGGGCUCAACCUGGGAACUGCAUCCAAAACUGAUUCACUAGAGUACGAAAGAGGGAGGUAGAAUUCACAGUGUAGCGGUGGAAUGCGUAGAUAUUGUGAAGAAUACCAAUGGCGAAGGCAGCCUCCUGGUUCUGUACUGACACUGAGGUGCGAAAGCGUGGGUAGCGAACAGGAUUAGAUACCCUGGUAG